UAAGUCACUUUGUCUUUAUGGCAAAUGUGAGAUGCAGUGUAUGGAAUGUCAAAUUUCUAGUAUGAGAAAUUAACGAUUUAAGUCCUUCUUAAAUGAGGCCAUUUACCCAUAGAGGGUGCCAGGCCCGUAUAACGUUAAUGAUUACUAGAUGGCAUUUCCAAAGAGUCGUGUUGCUUGAUAGUGCAGCACUAAGUUGGUGGUAAACUCCAUCUAAAACUAAAUAUAACCAUGAGACCGAUAGUAAACAAGUACCGUGAGGGAAAGUUGAAAAGAACUCUGAAUAGAGAGUUAAAUAGUACGUGAAACUGCUUAGAGGUUAAGCCCGAUGAACCUGAAUAUCCAUUAUAGAAAAUUCAUCAUUAUGAUUUUAAUAUUAAUAAUAUUAUAAUAAUGGUGUGCAUUUUUUCUAUAACGGACAUUGUAAUCUAUUAACAUAAACAUAUUUAUCAUAAGAUCAAUGAUGCGUAAGUUUAUUCAAAUUAUUUUGCUUGCAAUUUAACAUAGAAUAAAUGCUCUUGAUUUGAUAAAGUGUUGAUAGAUUUAUUGUAUAUAGUGCUUAAAUAUGUAUAUUUUAUAAUAGCAUAUUAAUCAUUGAUUUUUAUGUUUAUUAUAUGCACUUAUAUGAUUAACAAUGCGAAAGAUUCAGGAUACCUUCGGGACCCGUCUUGAAACACGGACCAAGGAGUCUAACAUAUUUGCAAGUUAUUGGGUAUCAAAACCUAAUAGCGAAAUUAACAUAACUAUUAAUGGGAUUAGUUUUUAGAUUAUUUAUAGUCUAUUAAUUCAAUCCCGGGGCGUUCUAUACGGUUAUGUAUAAUAAUAUUUAUAUUAUUUAUACCUCUAACUAGAACGUACCUUGAGCAUAUAUGCUGUGACCCGAAAGAUGGUGAACUAUACUUGAUCAGGUUGAAGUCAGGGGAAACCCUGAUGGAAGACCGAAACAGUUCUGACGUGCAAAUCGAUUGUCAGAAUUGAGUAUA
rnacentral:rRNA from 1 species